GUCCACGCCGUAAACGAUGAUAACUAGCUGUCCGGGCUCAUGGAGUCUGGGUGGCGCAGCUAACGCAUUAAGUUAUCCGCCUGGGGAGUACGGUCGCAAGAUUAAAACUCAAAAGGAAUUGGACGGGGGCCUGCACAAGCGGUGGAGCAUGUGGUUUAAUUCGAAGCAACGCGCAGAACCUUACCAGCUUUUGACAUCCCGAUCGCGAUUACCAGAGAUGGUUUUCUUCAGUUCGGCUGGAUCGGUGACAGGUGCUGCAUGGCUGUCGU
rnacentral:rRNA from 1 species